ACCACUGUAACUCCCUCCGCUCCUCCCUCCCAAACCCUAACUCCCACUCCCCCGAUUCAGAUCCCCCCUCUCUGCCAUACCUCUCCCCUCGUCGCCGCCUCCCUCUUCGCCACCACCUCUCCCCUCGCCGCCGGUCUGCCACACCUCUCCCUUCGCCCUCGUCUACUACACCGCCGGCAUCUCCGGCACAUCAACCCGGCAGUGACCUUCGGGCUGUUCCUGGCGAGGAAGCUGUCGCUGACUCGGGCGGUGUUCUACAUCAUCAUGUAGUGCCUGGGCGCCAUCUGCGGCGCCGGCGUGGUGAAGGGGUUCCAGCAGGGCCUGAACAUGGGCAAGGGCGGCGGCGCCAACGUGGUGGCGCCCAGCUACACCAAGGGCUCCGGCCUCGGCGCUGUGAUCAUCGGCACCUCCUCGUCUACACUGUCUUCUCCGCCACCGACGCCAAUAGGAACGCCAGGGACUCCCACGUUCCCAUCCUUGCCCCGUCGCCAAUCGGGUUCGCGGUGUUCCUGGUCCACCUGGCCACCAUCCCCAUCACCGGCACCGACAUCAACCCGGCGAGGAGCCUCGGCGCGGCUAUCAUCUACAACAGGGAGCACGCCUGGUCAGACCACUGGAUCUUAUGGGUCGGCCCCUUCAUCGGCACCACGCUGGCCGCCGUCUACCAGCAGGUGGUCAUCAGAGCGAUCCCAUUCAAGACCAAGUCCUAAGCUGUUGUUCUUCCUGCUACAAAGAAGAUGCCAACCCUUGCACGUUUGUCUCGCUGUGUCUCUGUGUCAGCUUCUGUAAGAUGUUGUUUGUCCAAGGUUAGAGGAGACUGCUGCUCUUAGGUUAUGACAAGCCAGGGGCUCUUCUCAACUUCUGGUGAUUUAUGCGAUGCAUGAGGAGAAUCGGGUUGUUGCACACAGCAUGCUGCAGCGAUGUCUUCUUCUCCUCUCUUCGCGGGUGCUCACUGGUCCACGCUGCCACCCAUCAAUGUUGACAAGUCACCAUCUAAAAGGUUGUCCGAGGAGAAACUGCUGGUUUCGAACGCUAGAAAGCUCCUGGCAUGGACAAGACAGAAGUGGGAAGGCUAUUGCUGCUCCAUGCUCCCGGCUUGACUUAAAUAUAUGGACCUGAUUAUCCUGUUGGAAUUAAUCAUUCUUGUUGUGGCAGCUACAUGUUAAUCUAGUUCUAGUCUCUAAUCUUUAUACCCCACAUGCCUUCUGUAUGUUGGAUUAGUUUCCUAUCUAGUUCAAUGUAGAUUCUGAUUCUAGCUCCUAGACUUGUGUUCAAGUGUCUUUCAUUUAACAGAUGAGUGCAAAGAAGGCCACUGGAUCCGCUAGAAAUUGUUCGAGCUGCAGGGUUUUGCUUGCUCGCUUGCUUACUUUGCUACCUCUUUGUAACCUGGUCGAUUUUGUUUUCUUCUACCAUUCUCAGUGUCGUGAAAAUGGAGAUGCACUGCUUCACAUUCUUAAUCUAAUUUAAUGUGUAAAAUGGCUGGCAAAUGCUGCUGCAAAGAUAUUAGUGGUAUAUGUGCAUGCAUUUGACAAUAUGAUUUCACAUGUGUGUUUGAAAAUUAACCAUACAGAUUAUGGUACUGUUAAUUUGGUGCAGUUGAAUGAGUGCUUGGUGUUGAUAUUUUGUUAAAUGAGCAUUAUGUUGUCUUAUAAUAGAUUGAUUUGCACUGUUUUGGUUAAUCAUAGUCCCACCACCGUAUGUGAUUUAAUUGACUAAGAUGUUGCAGUAGGCUUUGUUGCUAGCUAUUUAAGAUCACUUAAGAUAUUAAUAAACAUCAUGUUGUGAUAGUGGUGGUCAUUGUGUUAAAUAAAUUGUAACACUGGUAAUCUAGUAGAAAUUUUGAUCAAAUUGGAACUUUCAUAUGCUUAUAAAGCUUUCCUAUGAACAUUCAUAGGGAUUUUAGCAUGGCUGCUGUUGGCCCUUUGUAUUAAUAUGUAAUAAGUGUAUGUACAAACUGGAUGUUAAAAUGACAGGGAUUUCUGAUGGCGGUGGUGCACAUCCCGCGCCAGUUCAAGGUGCCGGACUGGUUCCUGAACAGGAAGGACUACAAGGACGGGAAGUUCGCCCAGGUCGUCUCCAACGCCAUCGACAUGAAGCUCAAGGAUGAUCUUGAGAGGCUCAAGAAGAUCACGGAGCUCCGCAUCCGAGUCUCGUCCAUCCUCGGCAGGAAGGAGCUGGGCCAAGGGAGCAAGCAGCGCUGCUGGUUACUUGGGGCCAGAUCGAAUUAGAUGACACACCAUGGCGUGUGGCGGUCUAUUUUGCUUCCAAGAGCAGUACUGUCUAUUUGAAAUGAGAUGUACUCGUCUACGGCCUAGUAAAAAAUUUAAGGAUUGUCAUGUACUGUCUAUGAUGUAGUGAGCUGUAGGAGUGAAAUGAAAUUUUAUCUGCUAUUGUAUGUGCUAUUUUCCUGUAAUGUGUUGUGUACAUUUUACUUGAACAUUAAA